GAUGAACGCUAGCUACAGGCUUAACACAUGCAAGUCGCGGGGCAUCAUGGAGGUUGCUUGCAAUUUCUGAUGGCGACCGGCGCACGGGUGAGUAACGCGUAUCCAACCUUCCCAUUACUACGGCAUACCCCGUUGAAAGGCGGCCUAAUUCCGUAUGCAGUCCGAAGCAGUCAUCUAAUUUGGACGAAAGGUAUAUUCUAUCGGUAAUGGAUGGGGAUGCGUCCGAUUAGCCAGCCGGCGGGGUAACGGCCCACCGGGGCAUCGAUCGGUAGGGGUUCUGAGAGGAAGGUCCCCCACACUGGAACUGAGACACGGUCCAGACUCCUACGGGAGGCAGCAGUGAGGAAUAUUGGUCAAUGGGCGUAAGCCUGAACCAGCCAAGUAGCGUGCAGGAUGACGGCCCUAUGGGUUGUAAACUGCUUUUAUGCGGGGAUAAAAGUUGGGGAACGUGUUCCCUUUU
rnacentral:rRNA from 1 species